rnacentral:rRNA from 1 species
GACGAACGCUGGCGGCGUGCCUAAUACAUGCAAGUAGAACGCUGAAGAGAGGAGCUUGCUCUUCUUGGAAGAGUUGCGAACGGGUGAGUAACGCGUAGGUAACCUGCCUUGUAGCGGGGGAUAACUAUUGGAAACGAUAGCUAAUACCGCAUAACAAUGGAUGACCCAUGUCAUUUAUUUGAAAGGGGCAACUGCUCCACUACAAGAUGGACCCGCGUUGUAUUAGCUAGUAGGUGAGGUAACGGCUCACCUAGGCGACGAUACAUAGCCGACCUGAGAGGCUGAUCGGCCGCACUGGGACUGAGACACGGACCAGACUCCUACGGGAGGCAGCAGUAGGGAAUCUUCGGCAAUGGGGGCAACCCUGACCGAGCAACGCCGCGUGAGUGAAGAAGGUUUUCGGAUCGUAAAGCUCUGUUGUAAGUCAAGAACGAGUGUGAGAGUGGAAAGUUCACACUGUGACGGUAGCUUACCAGAAAGGGACGGCUAACUACGUGCCAGCCGCCGCGGUAA